rnacentral:rRNA from 1 species
GCUUGCUUCUUUGCUGACGAGUGGCGGACGGGUGAGUAAUGUCUGGGAAACUGCCUGAUGGAGGGGGAUAACUACUGGAAACGGUAGCUAAUACCGCAUAACGUCGCAAGACCAAAGAGGGGGACCUUCGGGCCUCUUGCCAUCGGAUGUGCCCAGAUGGGAUUAGCUAGUAGGUGGGGUAACGGCUCACCUAGGCGACGAUCCCUAGCUGGUCUGAGAGGAUGACCAGCCACACUGGAACUGAGACACGGUCCAGACUCCUACGGGAGGCAGCAGUGGGGAAUAUUGCACAAUGGGCGCAAGCCUGAUGCAGCCAUGCCGCGUGUAUGAAGAAGGCCUUCGGGUUGUAAAGUACUUUCAGCGGGGAGGAAGGGAGUAAAGUUAAUACCUUUGCUCAUUGACGUUACCCGCAGAAGAAGCACCGGCUAACUCCGUGCCAGCAGCCGCGGUAAUACGGAGGGUGCAAGCGUUAAUCGGAAUUACUGGGCGUAAAGCGCACGCAGGCGGUUUGUUAAGUCAGAUGUGAAAUCCCCGGGCUCAACCUGGGAACUGCAUCUGAUACUGGCAAGCUUGAGUCUCGUAGAGGGGGGUAGAAUUCCAAGUGUAGCGGUGAAAUGCGUAGAGAUCUGGGAGGAAUACCCGGUGGGCGAAGCCGCCCCCUGGGACGAAGACUGACGCUCAGGUGCGAAAGCGUGGGGAGCAAACAGGAUUAGAUACCUGGUAGUCCACGCGUAAACGAUGUCGACUUGGAGGUUGUGCCCUUGAGGCGUGGCUUCCGGGAGCUAACGCGUUAAGUCGACCGCAUGGGGAGUACGGCCGCAAGGUUAAAACUCAAAUGAAUUGACGGGGGCCCGCACAAGCGGUGGAGCAUGUGGUUUAAUUCGAUGCAACGCGAAGAACCUUACCUGGUCUUGACAUCCACGGAAGUUUUCAGAGAUGAGAAUGUGCCUUCGGGAACCGUGAGACAGGUGCUGCAUGGCUGUCGUCAGCUCGUGUUGUGAAAUGUUGGGUUAAGUCCCGCAACGAGCGCAACCCUUAUCCUUUGUUGCCAGCGGUCCGGCCGGGAACUCAAAGGAGACUGCCAGUGAUAAACUGGAGGAAGGUGGGGAUGACGUCAAGUCAUCAUGGCCCUUACGACCAGGGCUACACACGUGCUACAAUGGCGCAUACAAAGAGAAGCGACCUCGCGAGAGCAAGCGGACCUCAUAAAGUGCGUCGUAGUCCGGAUUGGAGUCUGCAACUCGACUCCAUGAAGUCGGAAUCGCUAGUAAUCGUGGAUCAGAAUGCCACGGUGAAUACGUUCCCGGGCCUUGUACACACCGCCCGUCACACCAUGGGAGUGGGUUGCAAAAGAAGUAGGUAGC